rnacentral:rRNA from 1 species
GGGCUUUCGGUGGAUGCCUAGGCACUAGGAGGCGAUGAAGGACGUGGGAAAGCUGCGAAAAGCUUCGGGGAGCCGCUGACCAGGCUUUGAUCCGGAGAUAUCCGAAUGGGGGCAACCCCACAGGCACAAUGGCCUGUGACCCGCAAGGGGGCCAACGGACUGAACUGAAACAUCUAAGUAAGUCCAGGAAAGGAAAUCAAAACGAGACUCCCUUAGUAGUGGCGAGCGAAAGGGGAUCAGCCCAAACCCGUAGAUUACGGUCUGCGGGGGUCGUGGGACAUCGAUAUGUAGUUGGAACGCUAGUCGAACCCUUUGGAAAGAGGGGCCAGAGUCGGUGACAGCCCGGUAGGCGAAAGCGAGAAGACGCUAGAUGUAUCCCGAGUAGGACGAGGCACGUGGAACCUUGUCUGAAUCUGGGGGGACCACCCUCCAAGGCUAAGUACUCCCUAGUGACCGAUAGUGAACAAGUACCGUGAGGGAAAGGUGAAAAGCACCCAGCGAGGGAGUGAAAAGUCCCUGAAACCGAAAGUCUACAAGCAGUGGAAGCACCAUGGCGC